CUCUUUUGCUGUUAAUUAUAGAUAAGCCUAUGAUAGGCUUCAAUUACUUCUCCCAGCAUCACAAUAUAGGCAAAAAACUUAGCAGCUUAUUGAAGAAUAUGGUAUCAAAAUAAAACCCCAAGACAGGCACCUUAGAAUACCAUGCAUCAAUGAGAAAAUGUACAAGGAAAUAAAAUAUAUACCGUUUCAAUUGCAGUUAGAAGUCGUCUGCACAAUCCUUGACGCCUAUAAGUAUAACGUGUUCCAAUGAAGGGCAUCUCUGCUAAUUGACUCCCAUGGAUUCUAUUUUCAGACAUCAUAAAAUUCCAAUUGUUACAAUCACUGUGUUUCAAUUCAUUUUACCAACAACAAUCAUGUGUACAAGAUAAGGAACCAAAUUAAAGAUUUGCCUCCUAAAGGGAGCACAAACCAAAAACUCACAAAAUUUUGAGUGUUAGUCAUUAGCCCAACUUUAAAUGAAAAGAACUCAAUGUUUGACUGUAUGUUCCCAAAUUAAUUUUAUGUACAAGUAUUGGACGACUUCUAAUUCUGCCAUCUAAACCUUUUGUACACUAGAGUCUUAUUUUCUAUAUCUUCAUUUCCUAGAUGGCUACAAACAAUUUUUCAGUGUUUCUUUAACUUUAUGAUCUCAUUUGAAAUAGUAAUUAGAAGAGUAAAUGACAUUUUAUAAGAAUUCACGUGUUGAAUUAUCUUAGGAAUGUAUCAAGAGAAUAUAAUUUGUUUGCGGGGCAGAUAAAUGGGGAGAAUUUUUGUAGGUGGUCAAAUAAUUAAAUUUGAUCAUUCCCUUUUUAGUUAUUCAGGCAGAGAACUCAACUAAGAUUUUUGAUUUAUUAUCAUCAAAUGAAUAGCAGCCCAUGAUUUUAUUUUAUUAGCACUCCUGUCCUUGUUCACUUUAUCUAAUAUCCCCUGCAAUGAAUAAAUGCCUUGACUUUAAUAAUUCAAAUAUCAGUAUUGUAACUCUUCUACUUAAAAAAUAAUAAAAGGUCAGAAAACGUGUGCUAAUCACCAAAUAAUUCACGAGAAAUUUAUUAGAAAAGGCCAAGGUAUUAUGACCGAGAAGGGAA
rnacentral:lncRNA from 1 species